GUUUCACAUAGCAGGGAAAAUGUGUAACCCAGAGAUCCUUAUAUUUGAAUAAAAAGAGUCAAGACAAGAUUACAUUUUGAGCAGAACCCAGUGGCAGAGGCCUAAAAUCUCAACCAUUCGGGAAGCUGAUGCAGAUUUAGGGAGCUGCCG